GGGCCCGCACAAGCGGUGGAGCAUGUGGUUUAAUUCGAUGAUACGCGAGGAACCUUACCAGGGCUUAAAUGUAGUGGGACAGGUCUAGAGAUAGACCCUUCUUCGGACUCAUUACAAGGUGCUGCAUGGUUGUCGUCAGCUCGUGCCGUGAGGUGUCAGGUUAAGUCCUAUAACGAGCGCAACCCCUAUCGUUAGUUGCCAGCGAGUAAUGUCGGGAACUCUAACGAAACUGCCAGUGCAAACUGUGAGGAAGGUGGGGAUGACGUCAAAUCAUCACGGCCCUUACGUCCUGGGCUACACACGUGCUACAAUGGCCGGUACAGAGAGCAGCCACUUCGCAAGAAGGAGCGAAUCUAUUAAACCCGGUCUCAGUUCGGAUCGGAGUCUGCAACUCGACUCUAUGAAGCUGGAGAGA
rnacentral:rRNA from 1 species